UAUUUGCGUGGAGGUGGAGUGCGUUUUAUUGCUCUUCCUGAUGUUUUACGAAAUGCGCCUGUUUUCAAAAAAGUUGCUAACUUGAAGAGAAAGAUGGAAGAGGACAACAAAUCAGGUCCACGAAAAAAGAAGU
rnacentral:ribozyme from 1 species